GGACAUUACCGAGUUAUACAACUCAUCAACCCUGUGAACAUACCUAAAACGUUGCUUCGGCGGGAACAGACGGCCCUGUAACAACGGGCCGCCCCCGCCAGAGGACCCCUAACUCUGUUUUUAUAAUGUUUUUCUGAGUAAACAAGCAAAUAAAUUAAAACUUUCAACAACGGAUCUCUUGGCUCUGGCAUCGAUGAAGAACGCAGCGAAAUGCGAUAAGUAAUGUGAAUUGCAGAAUUCAGUGAAUCAUCGAAUCUUUGAACGCACAUUGCGCCCGCCAGUAUUCUGGCGGGCAUGCCUGUUCGAGCGUCAUUACAACCCUCAGGCCCCCGGGCCUGGCGUUGGGGAUCGGCAGAAGCCCCCUGUGGGCACACGCCGUCCCUCAAAUACAGUGGCGGUCCCGCCGCAGCUUCCAUUGCGUAGUAGCUAACACCUCGCAACUGGAGAGCGGCGCGGCCAUGCCGUAAAACACCCAACUUCUGAAUGUUGACCUCGAAUCAGGUAGGAAUACCCGCUGAACUUAAGCAUAUCAAUAAGCGGAGGGAAAAAAACCAACCCAUUUC
rnacentral:rRNA from 1 species